CCAUGUGGAACCCACCCGCCCCUUGGAUCCCGAUCCCCAUAUCUCACUCGCAGAUUAAAUCUAAAGCCCACGGAGAGUGGUCAGCAAAGAGUGCCAAGCCUCUAUUGCUGACUCUUUGGCACCGUGGACUCUAGCUAUUGACAACUCCAAGUAAACAAUAUCCAAAUACAUUAAAAGCCAAGCUCGAAAGCAGAGUGAGUGUGGAGGUUUCCAGCGUGUGGCAAGUAGUUUUUUAGCAGCUGUAAGUCCAGCCAACAAUGCUCUUUUCUUGUCCAGUGUCAAUCCCAACUUUGACAAAUCAUUCAAAAUAAGUGUAGCAGGCGUACAAGGCAGUCUAAUCUUAAACAACUUAGAGAGGUUAAAGGCAAUCAUCUUCCAAAAUUCAGCCACUGGGGAACAUUCCCAGAACAUGUGAAAGUAACUGCCAGUCACUUUAGCAGAACAGAAAGUACAAGUAGGAUCGUCAAUAACCUUCAUUAAAUGAAGCUUCCUAGGGGUGAAAUAAACCCUAUGUACAAAAUUAUAAUGAAUUUGCUGGUGAUCAGGGUUUCUGGAUGAUAAACCUAUAUUGAUCCACACUUUAUCCCAAUCAAAUGCGGGUGACAAAUCUGGAACAUCUCUCCUCCACACUGUGUCCAACGCCAGAGGUCUAUAAGCAUAUCGCAGCAAGAGCCAAUAGAGUCUUGAUACAAAACCCCUAGUGCUCCCGACAGAGUAAAACAAUUUUCGAAUUGGAUGUGAUGUGAGCGGAGCUUGUAAGGGGGCACCGUUGCUUUUUAGAGUCGAUCUCAACUGCAAAUAAAAGAAAAAGGAGGUACGUGGUAUACCAUGCUUGAUGCAAAUAUUUUGAAAAGUAAGUAACCCCGCCUCCCCAUAAAUAUCCCCAAGUGUACAAAUGUUUUUUUUUUCCCAAUCAGGAAAUCGAAUAUGACAACCGCCAAUCAGCAAUCUCUCAUUGUUAAAUAUUGGAAAGUGUGGGUCCCAGAUAGAAAAACAACCAGCCAAUUUCUCCACCCUCCUCCAUACCAAAAGUAAAUAUGAAAUCAUGGGACCAAAUUUCAAACGGCAUUGAUGGGGUGAGAUUUUUGCAUACAAAAUAUUAGUAAAAGAAUAUGGAGCUAUCAUCCGUUCCUCUAAAGUUCGCCAAGAGACUUGAGCAUCAGGGUGAAACCAGGAUAGAAGAGGUCUAAGUGUGAAGGCCCACUCAUAGAACUUAAAAUUUGGGAGAGACAGGCCACCAGCCUGCCUUUCUCGCUGCAUGGUGGUGAGCUUAAUACGAGGUCGUUUGCCAUGCCACAGAAAUUUACUUAUUGCUGAGUGCAAUUUGCCCCAAUAUUUAGGGGGUGGGGGAAGGGGGAGCAUUGAGCUGACAAAAUUGAUUCUGGGCAGAACAUUCAUUUUAAUUAUGGCUACCCUGCCACGGAGCGAAUUUGGAAGGUUAGACCACCUGUCCAGAUCCGCCACCACUUUGUUAAGUGUUUUAGAAAAAUUGUUUUUAAUAAUUGUCUGUAUGGAGGAAUAGAUGUCUAUCCCCAGAUAAGUGAAGUUAUUAGUAACUGGAAUAGAUGCAGGGAUGGGAGUAUUGCACAUUGCCUGAUUUAAGGGUAGUAAAGCUGAUUUCUGCCAGUUAAUUUUGAAGCCAGAGAGCUUGCCAUAAAGAUCGAAGGUAGACAAAAUAUGUGGGAUACAUUGCACUGGGUUAUUUAUAUACAAUAAAAUAUCAUCAGCAUAAAGUGAAACAUGGUGGUGUGUACCUCUAAUGGAAAUUGGAGAGAUUGUGGGAGAACCACGGAUAGCUUGUGCCAGUGGCUCAAGAGAAAGGGCGAAUAACAGAGGGCUAAGAGGACAUCCUUGUCUUGAUCCUCUCAAGACAGCAAAUGGGGAGGAGCUAAUUUUGCCCGUAAGUACUACAGCUGUUGGGUUUUUAUACAGGACCUUAAUCAUAUUAAUAAACGGCAAACCAACCCCCAUAACCUUUAGCACUGCCCACAGAAAUGGCCACUCCAGGCGGUCAAAGGCCUUCAUUGCAUCUAGUGAAAGGACAGCAGCAGGGGAAUUUAAAUCUUGAGCAUCAUGUAUAAUGUGUAAUAGUCUUCUAACAUUAUCUGUAGCAAGUCUAGACUUUAUAAACCCAGUUUGAUCACUAUGUACCAGUUCUGUCAUAUGGCCUUGAAGCCGACGGGCCAGUAAUUUUGCGUAAAUCUUUAAAUCUGCAUUUAAAAGCGAAAGAGGCCUGUAGCUGGCGCAAUCAGCUGGAUCCUUUCCUUUUUUAAGAAGCAGUGAAAUUAAUGCAGAAUUAACAUCCCUAGAAAAUGAUCCCUCUCUAACAGAAUAUAAAAUCAUCUCCAGUAAAAGCGGGCCAAUCUGGGGCCAAAAAGUAAGAUAAAAUUCGGGUGGUAUUCCGUCUGGACCUGGUGAUCUACCUUUACGCAUGUCCCUAGCAGCUGUCUCGCACUCCUGUAAUGUGAUUGGUUGAUCUAAUUUUAUGGCGUCAUCAUUACUGAGAUGAGAUAGUUUAACAUCUUUCAGGAAAUUAUUGCAGACAUCUUUAUCAAAAUUAUUUUCCGAAUUAUAUAACUCCUGAUAGAAGGAGGCAAAAACAGCAUUUACUUUCUUUGGGUCACAUUGUAUAGUGUUAUUUUUGUCUUUAAUGCAAAAGAUAUCAGCAAAGUGCUCAUCCGUCCGAAGUUUCAUUGCCAGUAAGCGACUGGGUUUUGAGGAGUUAAAAUAAUAAGUUUGUCUGGUUUUGUGCAUGAGGAAUUCUGAACGACGCCUCAGAAGAGAGUUAAUCUCUUUUUUGAUCAAUUCCUUUUGUAGGGCUGUGUAAUCAUUAAAAUUAUGUUGCAGGGAAGCAUCAAGGGACGUAUAUUUUAAUUCUAAAGCUUCCAAUUUAGCUGCAUGAGCUUUGUUUUGUGUUGAGGCAUAUAAAGUGGUAUUACUCCUUAUAAAGCCUUUUAUGGCCUCCCAAAGAAUCCUUGGAUCGAGAACAGAGCCAACAUUAAAGUCCAAAAAUUCACUAAAAUUUGUUUCAAACUGAGCUUUGAAAGACUCAUCUCGCAGUAAAGAAGUAUUAAGACGCCAUCUGGGGGCUUUAGUGGAAAAUGGGCGAACCUUGACUGAACAACAUAUGGGUUUGUGAUCAGACCAGGUCACCGGAAUGUAAUGCGCAUUUUGAAUAUUUUGAAAUAAAUCUUUUGAGGCAAAGAUAAAAUCUAGUCUCGAAAAGGAUUUAUGUCUCCCUGAGUAAAAAGAAUAGUCUUUUAAAGAAGGGUUUAACAAACGCCAGAUAUCGACCAUGCCCGUUUCGGAUGCCCAGUGGCGCAACGCCUCAGAUGCAAGAUGUUGGUCUUUAGUCUCGCUGCCGCCUGUUCUGUCCAUGCUGCUGUCCCACACCGCAUUGAAAUCAGCCCCAAGAACUAAGUGAAAUCCUGUAAGAUCAAGCAAGGAUUUAGUUAAUAGAUGGAAAAAGGUACGAUCAAAUACAUUAGGGGCAUAAGCAGAAAUAAGUGCAAUGUUUUUCCCAUCCAUACAGAUCCUUGCUAUAGCUAUCCGCCCUGCAUCAUCUGCCCAAGAGUCAAUCAUAUCAAAUUUUAGUUUACGUUUACACAAUACCAUUACCCCUUUAGAUUUUGUUGCUGCAGAUGAAGUUGCAAUAGAAUGAUAAAACUUAUUGGCUAAUCGACCCACAUCUUUGCCCAAUAAAUGUGAUUCCUGAAUCAUAGCAAAGUCUAUAUUUUUCUUACGAAAAAAUUCUAGUACAGUGGUUCUUUUGUGCGGAACGUUCAGACCCCUGGCGUUGACUGAAAUAAGGUUAAGAGCUGUCAUAUGCUAGAAGGCUUUGUGAAAAACAAAGAAAGAGGAAAAAAAAAAAGAAAGAGUUGUCCCAACAACAGCACGAGAGAGAACCGGAUCCAUAAAAGAGAAACACCCAAAAAAAAGAAAAAAAAAAAAAAAAAAAAAAAAAAAAAAAAAAAAAAAAAAAAAAAAAAGAAAAAAAAAAAAAAAAAAAAAAAACCGAAGAGGAAGUUUCAAAAAAAAAAAAAAAAAAAAAAAAAAAAAAAAAAAAAAAAAAAAAAAAAAAAAAAAAAAAAAAAAUAUAUGUAGGCCUAUAUGUAACAAAUAAAAAUAAAAUAAAAAAUAAAGAA